UUAGCAAAUGGAGAGCUACAACAAAUAAUCCAUUACUUCUACCUGCAUACAAAAUUUCCUCAUCUCUAUCAUCUCUUUUUAUAUAAAUAAAAAUUCAGAAAUAAAAAGAGGCACUCCUAGAUUAGUAAUUAAUUACAAACCUCUGAAUAAAGCUUUGAAAUGGAUCAGGUAUCCAAUUCCAAACAAAAAAGAUCUUUUACAAAAACUUCAUUCUGCAUUUGUAUUUUUCAAAUUUGAUAUGAAAUCAGGAUUUUAGCAAAUACAAAUUGAUCCAAAAGAUAAAUACAAAAUCGCAUUCACAGUUCCCUUUAGACAGUAUGAGUGAAAAGUCAUGCCUUUUGGCUUGAAAAAUACCCCAUCAGAGUUCCAGAGAAUUAUGAAUGAAAUCUUUAAUCUAUAUUCAAAAUUUGCAUAGUCUAUAUAGAUGAUGUUCUUGUGUUCUCAGAGUCAAUUGAACAACACUUCAAACACUUAAGAACAUUCUUCUCUGUUACAAAACGAAAUGGCCUUGCCGUUUUAAAAUCAAAGAUUUCUCUCUUCCAAAACAGGGUUACGUUUCUAGGCUAUUACAUAUCCCAAGGAACCAUUACUCCAAUAGAAAAAAGUCGAGAAUUUUCAAACAAAUUUCCUGACAAAAUCUUGGAUAAAACCCAGCUACAGAGAUUCUUCAGUAGCUUAAAUUAUGUCUUAGAUUUUUGUCUACAUUUUAACCAUUUAGCAAAAUCCCUGCAUGAUAAGUUAAAGAAAAACCAUGUUCCAUGGACAGAUCAUCACACUGAAGUAAUACGGAUUACACUUGACCAGGCCUUCUACACUUGACCAAACUAAAAAGAGCGGCCCAAUGGCAUAAUGAAAUCAGAGAAUAGCAACAAAGCUUUAAUCACGAUUAAUCCUUGUUUGGCUAAACCAUCAGCUAUCAAGUUGGCUUCACGAACGAUAUGGGUUAAAGACACAUUAUGCAACUGAUUUUUAUACUCGAACUAGCUAAUAUGCUGUGGUUAUCAUAUAUGCUUAUAAAAUCAAAAGAAGCUCAAUAAUGGGACAGAUAAAUCAAACUAACUACAUUUAAAAGCGAACACUUCAAUUGGAUAAAGAAGACGUUCUUGCAAACUUACAAUCUCCAAGAAUAUAUUUAGUUAGGUACAAAUGGGCACUUAAAAUAAUAACCACAGCAAAAAAUAUUCAUAUCGACAAUAUAACCAUAACAAACUGAAAACUCAUUUGUACAAUAUUUUUCAAGUUUUUGUUGCUUAUUCAUUUAUUAAAUAAAUAAAUAACUAUCAGCAUAAUUAUCAAAAUUACAAUCCAACAUCAAUUACCAUGAACAUUUUCAAAGCUAUAGAAAUCAAUUUCCAAGUCAUUUAUAUUCCACAGCAAGUUCUAACUCCUACCAAUUUUAAUAUACACUAUCCAAUUUGAUAAGGAUUUUCUUAUUAAUUUCUCAAUUUUCUUAGCAACACUAAUAAGGAUAUUAACUACAAAUAAGAAGUUGAAAGAAGAUAAGAUUACUUACAAUAAAAUUGAAAAGAUAUUGCCAACAACUUCUGUAAUGUUUUUUAAAUUUUUUGUUAUGUUUUUAAAUUUCAAGUUUAUAAUCUUCAGCAGAUUAUUGAAAGAAAUGUCAUUAUAUAAAUGACUCUAGAAUCAAUAAAACAUAGACCAUUUUUAGUCUCAUAUAUGCUCCUACAUCAUUUCUUAAAAAAAACCAACAAUGGUAUCAGCCCUAAAUAAAAGAGAAAAAUAAAAGCCUGCAAGCCAAAGGUAGGAUUACAGCAUGGAAAGAAACAUAACAUGGAACAAGAAGGUUUUCUCCAAAAAUAACAAAACCAAACACGAAAAAAAACAAGCCAAGCGCCUCCAACAAAACAAAAUCAAGCCAAGGGACCUAAGUAUGUCCAUAAACUAUAGAAAAAUGAUGAAGAGACCAACAUGCCUCAAAACUUUAACAAUCAUAAAAAGAAAAAGAUGAUAAAGAGACUGGCAAAGAGAAGCUAAAAAAUGAAGAUGCUUGGUGAUGAAUUCAAAACCACAACAAAAGAUGCAAGAAGUACUGAAAAUGCCUCAUCUGCUGCAGAUAAGAUCUUGAAAGAAAUAAAAAUUAUCUAUAUUAAAAUUGAAAAGAUGCUGCCAACAACUUCUAUCAUGUUUUUUGAAUUUUCUGUUGU
rnacentral:misc_RNA from 1 species